AUUGCUUAUUGGCCUUUGGCUAAGUUCAAAUGUAGUAUCUGUUCUUAUCAUUUGAAUAUCUGAGUUUUCUUCUAUAUGAGGACAAUGUAUUGAAUGGAUUUUUGGAACUGGAAGUUGGAGUUGGGACUUCUUCAUCCACUCCAUGCAUCAACCCCUUAUUCCAGUACUUCCAGGAAUGGUGCACCCCAA
rfam:Erinaceus europaeus unplaced genomic scaffold scaffold01200, whole genome shotgun sequence